UACAGAGGUCCCAAGCGUUGUUCGGAUUCACUGGGCGUAAAGGGUGCGUAGGCGGUCGGGUAAGUCUGAUGUGAAAUCUCACAGCUUAACUGUGAAACUGCAUUGGAUACUAUUCGGCUUGAGAGUUGGAGGGGGGACUGGAAUUCUUGGUGUAGCAGUGAAAUGCGUAGAUAUCGUGAGGAACACCAGAGGCGAAGGCGGCUACCUGGACAAUUGCUGACGCUCAGGCACGAAAGCGUGGGGAGCAAAAGGG
rnacentral:rRNA from 1 species